GGGUUGUGAGGUUAAGCGACUAAGCGUACACGGUGGAUGCCCUGGCAGUCAGAGGCGAUGAAGGACGUGCUAAUCUGCGAUAAGCGUCGGUGAGGUGAUAUGAACCGUUAUAACCGGCGAUUUCCGAAUGGGGAAACCCAGUGUGUUUCGACACACUAUCAUUAACUGAAUCCAUAGGUUAAUGAGGCGAACCGGGGGAACUGAAACAUCUAAGUACCCCGAGGAAAAGAAAUCAACCGAGAUUCCCCCAGUAGCGGCGAGCGAACGGGGAGGAGCCCAGAGCCUGAAUCAGUGUGUGUGUUAGUGGAAGCGUCUGGAAAGGCGUGCGAUACAGGGUGACAGCCCCGUACACAAAAAUGCACAUAUUGUGAGCUCGAUGAGUAGGGCGGGACACGUGGUAUCCUGUCUGAAUAUGGGGGGACCAUCCUCCAAGGCUAAAUACUCCUGACUGACCGAUAGUGAACCAGUACCGUGAGGGAAAGGCGAAAAGAACCCCGGCGAGGGGAGUGAAAAAGAACCUGAAACCGUGUACGUACAAGCAGUGGGAGCCUCUUAAUGGGGUGACUGCGUACCUUUUGUAUAAUGGGUCAGCGACUUAUAUUCUGUAGCAAGGUUAACCGAAUAGGGGAGCCGAAGGGAAACCGAGUCUUAACUGGGCGUUAAGUUGCAGGGUAUAGACCCGAAACCCGGUGAUCUAGCCAUGGGCAGGUUGAAGGUUGGGUAACACUAACUGGAGGACCGAACCGACUAAUGUUGAAAAAUUAGCGGAUGACUUGUGGCUGGGGGUGAAAGGCCAAUCAAACCGGGAGAUAGCUGGUUCUCCCCGAAAGCUAUUUAGGUAGCGCCUCGUGAAUUCAUCUCCGGGGGUAGAGCACUGUUUCGGCAAGGGGGUCAUCCCGACUUACCAACCCGAUGCAAACUGCGAAUACCGGAGAAUGUUAUCACGGGAGACACACGGCGGGUGCUAACGUCCGUCGUGAAGAGGGAAACAACCCAGACCGCCAGCUAAGGUCCCAAAGUCAUGGUUAAGUGGGAAACGAUGUGGGAAGGCCCAGACAGCCAGGAUGUUGGCUUAGAAGCAGCCAUCAUUUAAAGAAAGCGUAAUAGCUCACUGGUCGAGUCGGCCUGCGCGGAAGAUGUAACGGGGCUAAACCAUGCACCGAAGCUGCGGCAGCGACA
rnacentral:rRNA from 1 species